rnacentral:rRNA from 1 species
UACAGAGGGUGCGAGCGUUAAUCGGAAUUACUGGGCGUAAAGCGCGCGUAGGCGGCUUUGCAAGUCGGGUGUGAAAUCCCCAGGCUUAACCUGGGAACUGCUUUCGAGACUGCAUUGCUAGAGUAUGGGAGAGGGAAGUGGAAUUUCCGGUGUAGCGGUGAAAUGCGUAGAUAUCGGAAGGAACAUCAGUGGCGAAGGCGGCUCACUGGGCCGAGCCUGACGCUGAGACGCGAAGGCGUGGGGAGCGAACGGG